rnacentral:pre_miRNA from 1 species
AGUGGGAUAGCUGGGUCAAUGGUGGUUCCAUUCCCAGUUUUCUGAGGAAUCUCCAUACUGCUUUCCAUAGUGGUUGCACCAAUUUGCAGUCCCACCCAGCAAU